GGCCACGUGGUCUAGUCGUAUGAUACCUCCUUCGGGUCUACCGGGCUAUUAAAGCUCAUCAUGGAGGUGGUCCUGGGUUCAAUUCCCAGCUUGGCCC